rnacentral:lncRNA from 1 species
AGAUGACAUGGAGGACCAGAACAGGCUGAUACCAGUGUCAGUUUUGAUGGUUGGUUCUGGAUCGGACUGAAGAAGGGAGACUCCAUGAAGUGGCACUGGUCUCUGGCAGACAGACGUUUCUACAGAGAGGGGGGACUGAGUUCAGAAACUGGGACACUGGAACACCCCAAAAUGGUAACUGUGCUUUAAUGAGUACAUCUGGGUUGUGGAACAACACCUCCUGUGAUGACCCAGCAUCACUUCAUCUGUUAUGAUGGAAAACAAGACACCAACCUAACAUACGUCUUAUCAGGAGAACAGGCCUGGAUAGAUGCUCAGAGUUACUGCAGACAGUAUCACACAGACCUGGUCAGUGUGAGGAACCAGACUGGAAACACAGAGAUGGAGCAGAAGAUAUCACUGACGGGACUUCCUGUGUGGAUCGGUCUGUUUCAAGACUGCUGGAGAUGGUCAGACCAGAGUGAUUCCUCAUUUAGAAACGGGACAUUAGGACAUCCUGAUGCUUCAGGACAGAACUGUGUUGCAUUGUUUUUGAAUCAGUUAAUUCUGCGAAUGGGUAAAACAUCCCUGUGACCACAGACAUAAUUCAUCUGCAAUAUUGUAAAUUACAAUAUUCUCCACUUGAUCUACCUGAUAUAAUGAUGACAUGAGAACUCUAAUGUUUCCCCAAGAUUCACCACUUUCAUUGUUGGAUUUUAUUCUCUUGUGACACAGAUGUGAAGACCACGACUGCCCCUCUGCCCACACCCAAACCACCUUUCCACCCCGACCACAACCACACCACGCCUUCCACCCCGACAACAACACAACCACCUUCCACCCGACCACAACCAACCCUGCCUUCGACCCCGACAACAACCACAACCGCGCCUUCCACCCCAACCACAACCCCGCCUUCCACCCCGACAACAACCACAACCGUGCAUUCCACCCCGACCACAACCACUACCACGCCUUCCACCCCGACCACAACCACAACCACGCCUUCCACCCUGACAACAACCACACACCACGCCUUCCACCCGACAACAACAACAACCACGCCUUCCACCCCAACAACAACACAACCACGCCUUCACCACCCAACCACGCUCACCCAACAACCACACUGCCUCCACCCCGACAACAACCACAACCGUGCCUUCCACCCCGACAACAACCCACAACCGUGCCUUCCACCCCGACAACAACCACAACCACGCCUUCCACCCCGACCACAACCACGAUUGCCCCACAGAUCUUACACAAGACUACCACCCCAACCCCUGAGAAACCUCAACUGAAGAGACAGGUGGUGAGAAUGAAGAUGACCCCAAAGGAUCCAAAUAUGAACCUCAGUGAUCCUGCUGUUCAGGACUCCAUCUUACAAGAGAUAAGGAACAAGCUGAAGGAGCAGGGGUUACCUGCAGACACCAAAGUGACAUGGAAAAAGCAGCCUGAUGGGAAGGUCUUCCACAAGGAGGAAGAGGGGUUUCUCAAGAAAGAAGAGGAGGAGAAGAAGAUGAAGAAGAGUAUGAUGACAAAGAGAGAACUCUAAUUAUGUCAAAUGUUCUCUCCUUUUUUAUUUAGAUUAAUUAUCUGUACUAGGAUGUAUUUUCUGAACCUAAUUAAAUGUGUUUUAUUAAAUAAAUUGUUUAUUAUAAACAUUAAUAGUGUUUUAUCUUGAGAUGUUGUUAUUGAUAAUUUUCUUGACUUUUAUUACAGGGUGUGUUCUCAAGACAGACAUUUCACACAUCAUGUCUAUAAAUGAGUUAUUUGUAGUUAUGUUGAUAUUCAGGGAUGAGAAAAAGUAUUUUCCUCCUUUCUAAUGUUCUCAACUUUUACAGAUUUAAGAUGAAGAAUGUUAUCAGAUCUUCAAAGAAAACAGAAUAUUAGAUAAAGGGAACCUGAGUGAACAAAUAACACAACAAUUACAUACUUAUUUCAUUUAUUUCAUAAACAAAGUUAUGUAACAUCCAAUGUUCAUGUGUGAAAGAUUAAUUGCCCCAUUACACUCAAUAACUGGUUGUCACACCUUUAGCUGCAAUGACUCCAACCAAGCGCUUCCUGAAGUUGUUGAUCAGUAUUUCACGUCGCUGUGGAGCAUGUUUGGCCCAGUCUUCCACCUAGAACUGCUUAAACUCAGCGAGUUUUCAAGGAUGAACUUUGAAGUCCUGCCACAACAUCUCCAUUGGGAUCAUUAGGUCUGGACAUUGACGAGGUCAUUCCAAAACUUCAAAUGUGUUUCUUUUGAACCAUUUUCAUGUAGACUUGACUGUGUGUUUUGGAUCAAUGUCUUGCUGCAUGACUCUCUUCAGCUCACAGACGGAUGGCCUGACAUUCUCCUGUAGAAUUCUCUUAUACUGAGCAGAUCUCAUGGUUCCUUCUAUUAAGGCAAUUCGUCCAGGUUCUGAGGCAGCAAAGCAUCCC